AUUUUCGGGGCAUACUGACCUGCAGUGGCACGGUAUUUGGUAGGAAGGGGUAAAAUCCUUUGAUCUAUUGAGGACCACCUGUGGCGAAGGCGGUCUACCAGAACACGUUCGACGGUGAGGGAUGAAAGCUGGGGGAGCAAACCGGAUUAGAUACCCGGGUAGUCCCAGCCGUAAACGAUGCAGACUCGGUGAUGCGCUGGCUUGUGGCCAGUGCAGUGCCGCAGGGAAGCCGUUAAGUUUGCCGCCUGGGAAGUACGUACGCAAGUAUGAAACUUAAAGGAAUUGGCGGGGGAGCACCACAAGGGGUGAAGCCUGCGGUUCAAUUGGAGUCAACGCCAGAAAUCUUACCCGAAGAGACAGCAGAAUGAAGGUCAAGCUGGAGACUUUACCAGACAAGCUGAGAAGUGGUGCAUGGCCGUCGCCAGCUCGUGCC
rnacentral:rRNA from 1 species